rnacentral:sRNA from 2 species
CCGUAGGUGAACCUGCGGAAGGAUCAUUAACAGUUGGCUGUUGGACGCCGUGGGCGCUCGCGCCGCGGCUCCCGCUUCCACCCGUGUCUAUCAAACUUCUGUUGCCUCGGCAGGCCCGCCCCUCGGGCCGCCGGGGAGCCUCUGGGCUCCCGGGCGAGUGUCUGCCGGCGGAGAAUGAAAUCUAUUUUUGUACAGUUCUGUCUGAGCGAGAUUGAUAAAUGAAUCAAAACUUUCAACAAUGGAUCUCUUGGUUCCAGCAUCGAUGAAGAACGCAGCGAAAUGCGAUAAGUAAUGCGAAUUGCAGAAUUCCGUGAGUCAUCGAAUCUUUGAACGCACAUUGCGCCCCCUGGCAUUCCGGGGGGCAUGCCUGUCCGAGCGUCAUUGCACACCCUCAAGCACGGCUUGUGUGUUGGGCCUCGUCCCCCGUGGACGGGCCUGAAAUGCAGUGGCGGCGCCCGAGUUCCAGGUGUCUGCGCGCAUGGGAAGCCAUCUCGCCCAAGACCCGAUCGGCGUCGGCCUCGACGGUUGAAUCUCUUCGGUUUGACCUCGGAUCAGGUAGGAGUACCCGCUGAACUUAA